ACCGAGUUGUUUCGAGCUCGGCUCGACUCUCCCACCCAAUGUGUACCUACCUCUGUUGCUUUGGCGGGCCGCGGUCCUCCGCACCGGCGCCCUUCGGGGGGCUGGCCAGCGCCCGCCAGAGGACCAUAAAACUCCAGUCAGUGAACUUCGCAGUCUGAAAAACAAGUUAAUAAACUAAAACUUUCAACAACGGAUCUCUUGGUUCUGGCAUCGAUGAAGAACGCAGCGAAAUGCGAUAAGUAAUGUGAAUUGCAGAAUUCAGUGAAUCAUCGAAUCUUUGAACGCACAUUGCGCCCCUUGGUAUUCCGAGGGGCAUGCCUGUUCGAGCGUCAUUUCAACCCUCAAGCUCUGCUUGGUAUUGGGCCCCGUCCUCCACGGACGCGCCUUAAAGACCUCGGCGGUGGCGUCUUGCCUCAAGCGUAGUAGAAAACACCUCGCUUUGGAGCGCACGGCGUCGCCCGCCGGACGAACCUUUGAAUUAUUUCUCAAGGUUGACCUCGGAUCAGGUAGGGAUACCCGCUGAACUUAAGCAUAUCAAUAAGGCGGAGGAA
rnacentral:rRNA from 1 species